ensembl:lncRNA
AUGCCACACAUUCUGCUUCCCAGACCCCUGCCUGGGAAGAGUGGGACUCCACAGGUCUGGGGGAAGCCUGGGAGUGGCACCUAUGAGCAGCUGCCUCAGAGAUUCUUAAUCAUUUUACAGAUACCUCCAGAGCACUUAACCAUGUGCUCUGCCGGUCUCUGGGGACACAGAGAUGCAUGGCUCUUGGGACAGUCGCAUUGGGAAGAUCCCGUCUGCUCAGAGCUCAGCUGCUGGCUGCUUCCUCCAUCAAACCCUCACCCAAGGCCUGUCUCAGGCAGAAGCACCUGUCACCCCAGCCUUGACACCGGGCCAAUUAUCUUAGACACCUGGAUGAGACAACAGCCUGGAUCACCCCCCUCAGGCCACAACACCAGCACAAGGUCCAGACCACCGCCAGGCAGACCUCAGUGCCUGAGAUGCCGGGAUGGCAUCUUGCUUUGCCUAAGUGGGUUCUGACACGUCGCUGUUUCUUCUCAUUAAAAAGAAAAACAAAAACACAAAUCUAAGUAAUGUGUGCCCAGCACCCACCACAGAUGUUUGUGUCUUCAGCGUGUACCCAACCCCAUGCUGAGCAGCAGGGAUGUCAGGUAAACCCAUCCAAGGGAGCCCAGAGUCAGCCCAUACUGAGAGAUCAAACCAGGGACAGGGUGCUCUUAGGGUCAUGGACAUAACGGACGUCAAACAGGUUUUGAGACAUCGCCACAGCCUUUAUUUCUUGCUUCCGGCAAAGCGGUUUUCUGAUGAAGCAGGACAAAAGCCACUAUUCCCUGUGGCGGCCUAGGGCCCUGGAGUUGGACACAAGCAUGGCAGAUAGCUAAGCUCAAACUUAAGCUCGAUUUGCCUGCUUCCUCCCAACCCCGCCCCCUUCCCACAACCCCGCCCCCUCCAUAACCCCGCCCCUUUCCUCCAACCCUGCUCCACUCACAACAGCCAGAGCGAGCAUUAAUCAAGGCCGUAACCCCAGUGCUCGCUUCGGCAGCACAUAUGCUAAAUACAGAGAAAAUUAACGUUGCCCCCGUGCAAGGAUGACACACAAGUUUGUGAAGGGGUCCGUGUUUUUACUUAUAUGUGAAAUCUAAAAUACAGCACAGAACCAUGAGGUUGCAGGUUGGAUCCCUGGCCUCGUUCCGGCGUUGCGGUGAGCUAUGGGGUAGGUCACAGAUGUGGCUCAGAUCCGGCACUGAUGUGGCUGUGGUGUAGGCUGGCAGCUGUAGCUCCCGUUGGACCCCUAUCCUGGAACGUCCAUAUGCUGUGGGUGAGGCCCUAAAAAGCAAAAAUAAAAAUAAAAAUAAAAUAAAAUAUGGCA